rnacentral:rRNA from 1 species
UCCACCAGCCACUCUAGGUUGACUACACCAGUUUUCGUCCGAUCACUGAGGUUAAGCAACGCCGGGUCCGGUUAGUACUUGGAUGGGUGACCGCCUCGGAACCCGGGUGCUGUUGGUU